AGUUUAGAGAGAAGGUUCUGUGGACUGCUAUAACGCUCUUCAUUUUCUUAGUGUGUUGUCAGAUCCCACUGUUUGGAAUCAUGUCAUCAGAUUCUGCAGAUCCUUUCUACUGGAUGAGAGUUAUUCUGGCUUCCAAUAGAGGAACUUUAAUGGAAUUGGGUAUCUCCCCAAUUGUAACAUCUGGUUUGAUUAUGCAGUUGUUAGCUGGAGCCAAAAUCAUUGAAGUUGGAGAUACACCGAAAGAUAGAGCUUUAUUCAAUGGAGCCCAGAAACGUGAGCAUUAAUGCAAUUAAAGAGCAUUCUCCAAAUUUGAG
rnacentral:lncRNA from 1 species